GGCUGAGUGGUCUAGUGGUAUGAUUCUUCCUUUGGGCUCCCAGGUGGAAUCUCAAAUUGCAAGAGGCCCCGGGUUCAAACCCCGGCUCAGCCC